UUCAAUUACGAGAUAAUUUUGAAUUACUGGAAGACGAGAUUAGUGAGAGCGUAAAGAGGCAAAAAGUAUUGAAAGAGAAAAUUGCAGAACUGUUAAAGACGCAUCUACACAUGCCAGCGGGAAAAGAGGACGAACUAUAUGCAACUUUGAAAAAAAGAAAUGCUGAUAUUUACAUUCAAAGAUCAAAAUUGUGUUCUUGGAUGGAGAGUACCAAGUAAUAAAGUUAAGUUUUCCAUCGCUUUAACGCUGCGAGCAGAAGAAAGCAAUGACAAAUCAUGUGCUGGCAAU